AACGCGAAGAACCUUACCAGGUCUUGACAUCUUCUGACAACCCUAGAGAUAGGGCUUUCCCUUUCGGGGGACAGAGUGACAGGUGGUGCAUGGUUGUCGUCAGCUCGUGUCGUGAGAUGUUGGGUUAAGUCCCGCAACGAGCGCAACCCUUGAUCUUAGUUGCCAGCAUUCAGUUGGGCACUCUAAGAUGACUGCCGGUGACAAACCGGAGGAAGGUGGGGAUGACGUCAAAUCAUCAUGCCCCUUAUGACCUGGGCUACACACGUGCUACAAUGGACGGUACAAAGGGCAGCGAGACCGCGAGGUUUAGCCAAUCCCAUAAAACCGUUCUCAGUUCGGAUUGUAGGCUGCAACUCGCCUACAUGAAGCUGGAAUCGCUAGUAAUCGCGGAUCAGCAUGCCGCGGUGAAUACGUUCCCGGGCCUUGUACACACCG
rnacentral:rRNA from 1 species